GAUGAACGCUGGCGGCGUGCCUAAUACAUGCAAGUCGAACGCUGGAGAUCUAGCUUGCUAGCUCGAAGGAGUGGCGAACGGGUGAGUAAUACAUAAGCAACCUACCCACGAAGACUGGGAUAAUCUCUGGAAACGGGGACUAAUACCGGAUAGGUAAUCGGAAGGCAUCUUCUGGUUAUUAAAGGUUAAAAACACUGGUGGAUGGGCUUAUGGCGCAUUAGUUAGUUGGUGAGGUAACGGCCCACCAAGACGAUGAUGCGUAGCCGGCCUGAGAGGGUGAACGGCCACAUUGGGACUGAGACACGGCCCAGACUCCUACGGGAGGCAGCAGUAGGGAAGUUUCGGCAAUGGGGGCAACCCUGACCGAGCAACGCCGCGUGAGUGAAGACGGCCUUCGGGUUGUAAAGCUCUGUUGUAAGGGAAGAACGGUAGAUAGAGAAUAUCUAAGUGACGGUACCUUACCAGAAAGCCACGGCUAACUACGUG
rnacentral:rRNA from 1 species